UACGUAGGGGCCAAGCGUUGUCCGGAUUUAUUGGGCGUAAAGAGCUCGUAGGCGGUUGGGUAAGUCGGGUGUGAAAACUCCAGGCUCAACUUGGAGAUGCCACCCGAUACUGCUCUGACUUGAGUUCGGUAGGGGAGUGGGGAAUUCCUGGUGUAGCGGUGAAAUGCGCAGAUAUCAGGAGGGACACCGGUGGCGAAGGCGCCACUCUGGGCCGAAACUGACGCUGAGGAGCGAAAGCGUGGGGAGCAAACAGG
rnacentral:rRNA from 1 species